GGGUUGUGAGGUUAAGCGACUAAGCGUACACGGUGGAUGCCCUGGCAGUCAGAGGCGAUGAAGGACGUGCUAAUCUGCGAUAAGCGCCGGUAAGGUGAUAUGAACCGUUAUAACCGGCGAUUUCCGAAUGGGGAAACCCAGUGUGAUUCGUCACACUAUCAUUAACUGAAUCCAUAGGUUAAUGAGGCGAACCGGGGGAACUGAAACAUCUAAGUACCCCGAGGAAAAGAAAUCAACCGAGAUUCCCCCAGUAGCGGCGAGCGAACGGGGAGGAGCCCAGAGCCUGAAUCAGCAUGUGUGUUAGUGGAAGCGUCUGGAAAGGCGCGCGAUACAGGGUGACAGCCCCGUACACAAAAGCGCAUGUGCUGUGAGCUCGAUGAGUAGGGCGGGACACGUGGUAUCCUGUCUGAAUAUGGGGGGACCAUCCUCCAAGGCUAAAUACUCCUGACUGACCGAUAGUGAACCAGUACCGUGAGGGAAAGGCGAAAAGAACCCCGGCGAGGGGAGUGAAAAAGAACCUGAAACCGUGUACGUACAAGCAGUGGGAGCACAGGUUUACCUGUGUGACUGCGUACCU
rnacentral:rRNA from 1 species